CGAUGCCCAACUUCCAGCAUCUAUCUACCUCGAGGGUACCCAUUUUUUGUGGGCUCAAGUUAUAGGUUGGGUCCCUAAAUGGAAGUUCAUGGCAAGCCCAAGCCAACCAAGGCCUGGUACCACAACUUACUAUUUAAAACUUCUAUUUGGGAUAAUAAAAUAAGCCAGCUAUGUCUUCCUUAGUUUGUGUUUUAAUAAUAAACGGUUAAUAAUUACAGACCUUCUGAUGCAUACUA
rnacentral:lncRNA from 1 species